rnacentral:tRNA from 1 species
UUGUGCAUGUCGUAGUGGUUUGAGUGUUGGGACUAUGACUCUGGAGACCAGGGUUCGAAUCCCUGCUCAAAUA